GAAAGCUGUGGAGAUAGCCUUGUCGUGUGUGCUAAAUACUGCAAUUCGAAGGCCAAGUAUGAGUGAUGUAUUGAUUGAAAUAAAAGAAUGUUUGGCUAUAGUAACACCUUAUGUUGGAUCACAAAGGAUGGAUAGAGGAAGGAUAAGAUCAAUCAACUCACUUGAAAUGAGGUCUUUGGAAAUCGACAGUGAAAUUGCUCCGAGUCCUAGGUAGUCUGACUCUGCUGGUCCAUCAAUAUUUUCUUCUUCAUUUUAGUUUUUAGAGAUGG
rnacentral:misc_RNA from 1 species